rnacentral:rRNA from 1 species
GACGAACGCUGGCGGCGUGCUUAACACAUGCAAGUCGAACGGAAAGGCCCUGCUUUUGUGGGGUGCUCGAGUGGCGAACGGGUGAGUAACACGUGAGUAACCUGCCCUUGACUUUGGGAUAACUUCAGGAAACUGGGGCUAAUACCGGAUAGGAGCUCCUGCUGCAUGGUGGGGGUUGGAAAGUUUCGGCGGUUGGGGAUGGACUCGCGGCUUAUCAGCUUGUUGGUGGGGUAGUGGCUUACCAAGGCUUUGACGGGUAGCCGGCCUGAGAGGGUGACCGGCCACAUUGGGACUGAGAUACGGCCCAGACUCCUACGGGAGGCAGCAGUGGGGAAUAUUGCACAAUGGGCGGAAGCCUGAUGCAGCAACGCCGCGUGCGGGAUGACGGCCUUCGGGUUGUAAACCGCUUUCGCCUGUGACGAAGCGUGAGUGGCGGUAAUGGGUAGAGAAGCACCGGCUAACUACGUG